rnacentral:rRNA from 1 species
CCUACGGGAGGCAGCAGUGAGGAAUAUUGGUCAAUGGACGCAAGUCUGAACCAGCCAUGCCGCGUGAAGGAAGACGGCUCUAUGAGUUGUAAACUUCUUUUGUAAGAGGGUAAACUCAGAUACGUGUAUCUGUCUGAAAGUAUCGUACGAAUAAGGAUCGGCUAACUCCGUGCCAGCAGCCGCGGUAAUACGGAGGAUUCAAGCGUUAUCCGGAUUUAUUGGGUUUAAAGGGUGCGUAGGCGGUCGGAUAAGUUAGUUGUGAAAGCCUGAGGCUCAACUUCGGAAUUGCCUUUGAUACUGGUAGGCUAGAGAGUAGUUGAGGUAGGCGGAAUGUAUGGUGUAGCGGUGAAAUGCUUAGAGAUCACAAAGAACACCGAUUGCGAAGGCAGCUUACUAAGCUACUACUGACGUUGAGGCACGAAAGUGUGGGGAGCAAACAGGAUUAGAUACCCCUGUAGUC